GUUCUUUCUUCUUCCAGCCUCGUUCUUCUUCUUUCCCAUCGCCGCUGCUGCUUCGUCCACCGUUCAGCCUCUGUCCGCCGUUCGUCCCUAGUCAGUGAGUUCUCAUCGUCCGUCGUUUGUCCCUAGUAAGUGAGUUCUCAGCGUCCUUCGUUCGUCCACUGUCACCGAGUUCUCGCUUCGCCGCCAUUCGUCCCACCGCUUCGCCGUUCGUCCCACCGCUUCGCCACCGUCUGGUAACUUCUUCUUCCUUCAUCUUCAUCCUUCAUUUCGACCACACCACCACCGAUUCCGCAACGUACACCCUGUGUAUUCGUAACUCCCUCCGUCGUGGUGAAUUCUACAUGCCUAGAUCCCUCCGUUGCGACCAAUCCCUCAUUCACUGUCCGAUUUCGACCACAUCACCGAUUCUGCGACGAUACUCCCUCGGUAUCUGUAACUCUCUCCGUCGCGGUGAAAAUUCCCUCCGUCAAGUGUAUCUAGAACAAGGCUGGUAAACUAAUUGAUUUUUCCUCUGUUAAUCCAGUUAUCUUCAAGUUGAGGAAGAUAUGAAACAGGAUCUCAUCGACUAUUCUGCCUCUGUUUGUAAACCAGAGGAAAAAUGAAGAAUAUUCAUUAUGGAUGUUGAACAAAGACCAACCAAUGAUAACUCUCUCGCUCUCAACCUCGAACAUGAUCCACAGUAUCCCAAAUGAUUCUUACGAGAUGUUUCUAUUGCUCAUGUUAUUGACCAGGAUUCAUGGCAACAAGUGGGGUUGAUGUUAGUGACAGGUUUCAAUUGCGGUUGGAUAUUCAAUUUCUCGAACUGAUUAAGGUUCCACUUGGUUGGACUUUGGGUGUUAUAUUGCUUUUUGUUGUUGGAUUAUACACAGCUUAUGCUAAUUGGCUAUUGGUAGAUUUUUAUUUCAUUGAUGGAAUGAGAUUCCUCAGAUACAGAGAUCUCGUGGGAUUUGCUUAUGAGAAGGAAACAACAUAACACUAAUGAUUGUGGAUACUAUGUGAUGAAAAAUAUGUUGGAUAUUGUCUCUGCCAAUAUAACUGAAUCUUGGAUGCAGGUAUUUAAUGAUCCUACAGAAUUGACACAAGAAUUGAUACAAGAAGAUUUGUAUGAUUUGCGACUCCGUUGGGCAAAAUGUUUCUUUGAGUUAUAUAAAGAAUAACUUUAUGUUUCUCGUGGAUGCGUGUUGGUUUUUCAAGUGCGCGAAAGAACUUAAAUGGUUGAAUAUUUGUUAUGUUAUUAUCUUGUAGUAGAAA